CCUUCCCUCCCCUCCCCUCCCCUCCCCUCCCCUCCCCUCCCCUCCCCUCCCCUCCCCUCCCUUCCCCUCCCCUCCCCUCCCCUCCCCUCCCCUCCCUUCCCCUCCCCUCCCUUCCCUUCCCUUCCCCUCCCUUCCCCUCCCUUCCCCUCCCUUCCCCUCCCCUCCCCUCCCCUCCCCUCCCCUCCCCUCCCCUUCCCUUCCCUUCCUUUCCCUUCCCUUCCUUUUUCCUUUCUCUUUCUUUCUUCCUCUCUUUCUUUCUUACUUUACUUUCUUAGAUCUUGCUCUCACCUGGGCUGGAGUGCAGUGGCAAAUCAUGGCUCACUUCAGCCUUGAACUAUGGAGCUCAAGCAGUCCUCCUGCCUCAGUCUUCUGAGUAGCUGGGACUCAGUCAUGUGCCACCACAUCUGGUUAAUUUUUUAUUUUUAUUUUUAGUAGACAUGAAGUCUCACUAUAUUGCCAGGCUGGUCUCAAACUACUGGGCUCAAAUGAUUCUCCUUGCUCUGCCUCCCAAAGUGCUGGGACCACAGGCAUGAGCCACAACACCUGGCCUCAUCUCACUUUCUUUGUGAGGUUAUUGUCAUAUUUUUUAUUUUAACAUGUUAUAACCCCCCGUUAGAGUGUUUUCACUUUUGCUUUAAAUAGUGGUCUUUAAGGAAAUUCUAAGACAGAAAACACACUACAUUAUAUUUAGCAAUUUACUUAACAUUUCCAGUGCUCUUUUUCUUUCUUACUGUAGCUCUGAAUUCCAUCUACCUUUUGUAUUCAACCUUUUGUAUUUCUUAUGUGUAGGUCUGCUGGUGAUUAAUUUUCUCAGCUUUUGUUUAUUUGAAAGUGCCUUUAUUUCCUUCUCAUUUUUGAAGAAUAUUUUUGUUGUAUGUAGAAUUCUGAGUUAACAGAUCCGUUUUUGUUUUCUCUUUCAGCAGUUUAAAGGAUGCCAUGCCAUGGGGUUUUCAGUCCCCGUUGUUUCUCAUAAGCCCAUGAUCAUUCUUAUCCUUGUUCACUGGCACAUGGAUGAAGCUGGAAGCGAUCAUUCUCAGCAAACUAACAGAGGAACAGAAAACCAAGCACUCCAUGUCCUCACUCAUAAGUGGGAGCUGAACAUUGAGAACACAUGGACACAGAAAGGGGAACAACACACACAGUGAGGGGAGGGGACUUAGAGGAUGGAUCAAUAGGCAUAGCAAACCAACAUGGCACGUGUAUACCUAUGUAACAAACCUGCAUAUUCUACACAUGUAUCCCAUUUGUUGUUUUUUUUUUUUAGAAGAAAUAUAAAACAAAACAAAAUAAUACCCCAUUCCAGAAAGAGUCCUGCUCUAUAUCCAAGAGGAAGGAAUGCUACAUAGAGAGGCCAAGAAAAGUCUUUGUGAUAGGCAUCGAUGGGUUUAGAUAAUGCACUUGUUGUCCAGUGACAUUUCUACAUGGCUGUCAAUCAUGUCUGUGUAAUGAAGCUUCAGUAAAAAUCCAAGAGGAUUGGGUUUGUGGAGCUUCCAGAGAGCUGAACGCGUGAAGGUUCCUGGAGGAUUGUGUAUCCAGGAAGGACACAGAAGCUCGUGCCCUUUCCCUCAUAUCUCACCCUGCACAUCUGUAUCUUUUGUAAUAUACUUUAUAAUAAACUGGUAAGGGUAAAAGUGUUCCCCUGAGUUCUGUGAGCUACUUCUAAUUCCAGUUAAUCAAACCCAAAGAGGGGGUCAUGGAAACCCCAACUUGAAGCUGGUUGGUCAAAACACCAGACUUGUGACUGAUGUCUGCAGGUAAAAGCAUCCUGGGGCUGAUCCCUCAACCUAUGGGAUCUGAUGCUAUCUCCAGGUAGACAGUGGCAGAAUUGAACUAGAGGACACCCAGCUGGUGUCCACUGCUUGGUAUGUGGGGGAAAAACUCCAUACCUUGAGUAGCAGAAGUCUUCUUCUGUGUUCAUGACUAUUGUUGCAGUGGUGUGAGAACAGGGGAUAAACACUUCUGACAUAGAAGCCCAAACCUGUAAGGGCAAGAUUUUGUCCAUAAAACAACCCUGGAACAAGGUGCCCAGGGGAAAAGUACCAAAGAGUGUAGGAGUGAAAAGAGAUCAGUACAGACACCCCACCCCUGUCACCCAUGUUAACUUUUACCCUCUGUUGUCCUUAGUUUUCUUUCUUUUUUUUUUUUUUUUUUUAAUAUUUGAGAAGGAGUAUCGCUCUGUUGCCCAGGCUGUAGUGCAGUGGCAUGAUCCUGACUCACUGCAACUUCUGCCUCCUGGGUUUAAGUGAUUCUCCUGCCUCAGUCUCCCAAGUAAGCUUGGAUUACAGGUGCCCACUACCAUGCCCAGCUAAGUUUUGUAUUUAGUAGAGAUGGGGUUUCACCGUGUUGGCCAGGCUGGUCUUAAAUAUCCUUAGUUUUACAUUCAAUGUAGGGGAAUUAGAAGAAACAGUAGCAUGCAAAGAUUGAUAUCAGUUUAUACCAAAACAGAACACUGCCCGUGAGCAGAAGGAAUUAACAAUACACACAAAAGUCUAACAAAAUAGAAAAGAACAUGGACACUGGCUCUAACAUUGGCGUCAUUGGGAUAGAAAGUCUAUUUACAUUGUUUCUUAUGAGGUCAGCAAAACAUUUUAAAUAGCCAUUCCUUGGCUGCCUGCAGUGGGUCUGCAAAUGUGAAAUAAAACAUGGACUGCAGACCUGACUUAUGAGCAGGAUGUUCCAAAUUUCUUUCUUUGCUUUCUGCUGUAGCAGAUCACCUUGUACUGUAUUGGUAGAUUUUUAUCAUCUCAGAUGAAAGAAUCCCAUUGUUGGCCAGGACAAAUCCAAAACACAGGUGACGAGUGGUAACACCCAAUGGUAAAACCUGAUUCACUGUGGUUGUUUUUCUUUCACAUUGUGAAACUAUAAGGAUAAAAAGGGGCAGGAAGGUAAAAGCAGCAAUCAUGUCUGCAUAGACUGAAGG
ensembl:lncRNA